CAGAGGUGGCAAGCGUUGUUCGGAAUUACUGGGCGUAAAGGGCGCGUAGGCGGCCAUCUAAGUCAGACGUGAAAUCCCCCGGCUUAACCUGGGAACUGCGUCUGAUACUGGACGGCUUGAGUAUGGGAGAGGGAUGUAGAAUUCCAGGUGUAGCGGUGAAAUGCGUAGAUAUCUGGAGGAAUACCGGUGGCGAAGGCGGCAUCCUGGACCAUUACUGACGCUGAGGCGCGAAAGCUAGGGGAGCAAACGGGAUUAGAUACCCCGGUAGUCCUAGCCCUAAACGAUGAAUGCUUGGUGUGGCGGGUAUCGAUCCCUGCCGUGCCGAAGCUAACGCAUUAAGCAUUCCGCCUGGGGAGUACGGUCGCAAGGCUA
rnacentral:rRNA from 1 species